rnacentral:rRNA from 1 species
CUUGCUCCUGGAUUCAGCGGCGGACGGGUGAGUAAUGCCUAGGAAUCUGCCUGGUAGUGGGGGAUAACGUCCGGAAACGGGCGCUAAUACCGCAUACGUCCUGAGGGAGAAAGUGGGGGAUCUUCGGACCUCACGCUAUCAGAUGAGCCUAGGUCGGAUUAGCUAGUUGGUGGGGUAAAGGCCUACCAAGGCGACGAUCCGUAACUGGUCUGAGAGGAUGAUCAGUCACACUGGAACUGAGACACGGUCCAGACUCCUACGGGAGGCAGCAGUGGGGAAUAUUGGACAAUGGGCGAAAGCCUGAUCCAGCCAUGCCGCGUGCGUGAAGAAGGUCUUCGGAUUGUAAAGCACUUUAAGUUGGGAGGAAGGGCAGUAAGUUAAUACCUUGCUGUUUUGACGUUACCAACAGAAUAAGCACCGGCUAACUUCGUGCCAGCAGCCGCGGUAAUACGAAGGGUGCAAGCGUUAGUCGGAAUUACUGGGCGUAAAGCGCGCGUAGGUGGUUCAGCAAGUUGGAUGUGAAAUCCCCGGGCUCAACCUGGGAACUGCAUCCAAAACUACUGAGCUAGAGUACGGUAGAGGGUGGUGGAAUUUCCUGUGUAGCGGUGAAAUGCGUAGAUAUAGGAAGGAACACCAGUGGCGAAGGCGACCACCUGGACUGAUACUGACACUGAGGUGCGAAAGCGUGGGGAGCAAACAGGAUUAGAUAACCUGGUAGUCCACGCCGUAAAC